AAGAGACCAAGAGGGUUGAAAGCUAUGGGCAAUAUGGACUCUGACUCUGAGUGAAGGCAAAACCUCUGGCAAGAAAGCGUCUUUUAGGAUAAUUUCAUUACAGAAGAUGAAGACUACAAGUCGAUGUAGAAAGCGGUUUAUUUUUGACAAAAGAGGAUGUGAGAAAAUGUGGGUUAGCGUGUAAAUUAUUCCUUUCACUUUCACCAGCAGCUAUAAGAAUGGAAGGAUGAAUUUUCAACCAUUAUAGAUUUGUGUAUGCUCAAGCCUCUAAUUUCUACUUGCAUCCAUUCCUCUGCAUAGCUAAUCUAAAAAGAUCACUGGAUCAUUUAUCCUCGGGGAAUUUUAUUAUUGCAAAGGAAAAGGGGAGUGGAUAUUUUGUAGGCAAACAUCUUCCUCUAGAUUGGUAUAUGGUUCUAAUGAAAUUGGC
rnacentral:misc_RNA from 1 species